rnacentral:rRNA from 1 species
UAGGGAAUCUUCCACAAUGGACGCAAGUCUGAUGGAGCAACGCCGCGUGAGUGAAGAAGGUUUUCGGACCGUAAAGCUCUGUUGUUGGUGAAGAAGGAUAGAGGUAGUAACUGGCCUUUAUUUGACGGUAAUCAACCAGAAAGUCACGGCUAACUACGUGCCAGCAACCGCGGUAAUACGUAGGUGGCAAGCGUUGUCCGGAUUUAUUGGGCGUAAAGCGAGCGCAGGCGGAAGAAUAAGUCUGAUGUGAAAGCCCUCGGCUUAACCGAGGAAUUGCAUCGGAAACUGUUUUCUGAGUGCAGAAGAGGAGAGUAGAACUCCAUGUGUAGCGGUGGAAUGCGUAGAUAUAUGGAAGAAUACCAGUGGCGAAGGCGGCUCUCUGGUCUGCAACUGACGCUGAGGCUCGAAAGCAUGGGUAGCGAACAGGAUUAGAUACCCUGGUAGUCCAUGCCGUAAACGAUGAGUGCUAAGUGUUGGGAGGCUUCCGCCUCUCAGUGCUGCAGCUAACGCAUUAAGCACUCCGCCUGGGGGAGUACGACCGCAAGGUUGAAAC